rnacentral:rRNA from 1 species
UACAGGGGGGGCAAGCGUUGUUCGGAAUUACUGGGCGUAAAGGGUCUGUAGGUGGCUUGCUAAGUCAGACGUGAAAUCCCUCAGCUUAACUGGGGAACUGCGUCUGAUACUGGCAAGCUUGAGUGCAGGAGAGGAACGCGGAAUUCCAGGUGUAGCAGUGAAAUGCGUAGAGAUCGGGAGGAACAUCAGUUGCGAAGGCGGCCACCUGGACCAGCACUGACACUGAGGCACGAAAGCGUGGGGAGCAAACAGG